rnacentral:rRNA from 1 species
UUUCCUACGGGGGGCUGCAGUCGAGAAUCUUCGGCAAUGGGCGCAAGCCUGACCGAGCGACGCCGCGUGUGGGAUGAAGGCCUUCGGGUUGUAAACCACUGUCAGAGGGGAUGAAAUGCAGGUGGGUUCUCCCAUCUGUUUGACAUAGCCUCAGAGGAAGGACGGGCUAAGUUCGUGCCAGCAGCCGCGGUAAGACGAACCGUCCAAACGUUAUUCGGAAUCACUGGGCUUAAAGGGUGCGUAGGCGGCGCGGUAAGUUGGGUGUGAAAUCCCUCGGCUCAACCGAGGAACUGCGCCCAAAACUACCGUGCUCGAGGGAGAUAGAGGUGAGCGGAACUUAGGGUGGAGCGGUGAAAUGCGUUGAUAUCCUAAGGAACACCGGUGGCGAAAGCGGCUCACUGGAUCUCUUCUGACGCUGAGGCACGAAAGCUAGGGUAGCGAACGGGAUUAGAUACCCCAGUAGUCAG